rnacentral:rRNA from 1 species
GACGAACGCUGGCGGCGUGCUUAACACAUGCAAGUCGAACGGAAAGGCCCUGCUUUUGUGGGGUGCUCGAGUGGCGAACGGGUGAGUAACACGUGAGUAACCUGCCCUUGACUUUGGGAUAACUUCAGGAAACUGGGGCUAAUACCGGAUAGGAGCUCCUGCUGCAUGGUGGGGGUUGGAAAGUUUCGGCGGUUGGGGAUGGACUCGCGGCUUAUCAGCUUGUUGGUGGGGUAGUGGCUUACCAAGGCUUUGACGGGUAGCCGGCCUGAGAGGGUGACCGGCCACAUUGGGACUGCGAUACGGACCAGACUCCUACGGGAGGCAGCAGUGGGGAGUAUUGCACAAUGGGCGGAAGCCUGAUGCAGCAACGCCGCGUGCGGGAUGACGGCCUUCGGGUUGUAAACCGCUUUCGCCUGUGACGAAGCGUGAGUGGCGGUAAUGGGUAAAGAAGCACCGGCUAACUACGUG